CCAGCGGCGGUUGCAGCCAUUUUCGCUCCGAUAGCGCCGCCGCUACGGUGGGUGGAGGCGAUGGAAGUGAGUUUGAUAGAGGGGAAAGUGGCGGAGAAAGAGAUGUUGAGGGGUUUUUGAGACGAAAGGGCUGUUGAGAGUCGUGCAGAUGGUGGGAUUUUGGACUGGAGGGAAACUGGGGUGUUGAGAAGCGCUGCCAUUGCUGCUGAUGGUGGUGGUGAGGGAAAGAAGGAGAUGUGG
rnacentral:misc_RNA from 1 species